rnacentral:rRNA from 1 species
CCUACGGGUGGCAGCAGUGAGGAAUAUUGGUCAAUGGACGAGAGUCUGAACCAGCCAAGUAGCGUGAAGGAUGACUGCCUUAUGGGUUGUAAACUUUUUUUAUAUGGGAAUAAAUUGUUUCACGUGUGGGAUUUUGUCUGUCCCACAUGAAUAAGGAUCGGCUAACUCUGUGCCAGCAGCCGCGGUAAUACGGAGGAUCCGAGCGUUAUCCGGAUUUAUUGGGUUUAAAGGGAGCGUAGGUGGAUUGUUAAGUCAGUUGUGAAAGUUUGCGGCUCAACCGUAAAAUUGCAGUUGAAACUGGCAGUCUUGAGUACAGUAGAGGUAGGCGGAAUUCGUGGUGUAGCGGUGAAAUGCGUAGAUAUCACGAAGAACUCCGAUUGCGAAGGCGGCUCACUGGACUGCAACUGACACUGAGGCUCGAAAGUGUGGGUAUCAAACAGGAUUAGAUACCCCUGUAGUC